CCCUUAGAUGUUCUGGGCCGCACGCGCGCUACACUGAUGCAUUCAACGAGUUUUACCUUGGCCGAGAGGCCUGGGCAAUCUUUUAAACCUGCAUCGUGAUAGGGAUAGAUUAUUGCAAUUAUUAAUCUUGAACGAGGAAUUCCUAGUAAACGCGAAUCAUCAAUUCGCAUUGAUUACGUCCCUGCCCUUUGUACACACCGCCCGUCGCACCUACCGAUUGAAUGAUCCGAUGAAUACCAUGGAUUGAGAGUACGAAUAGGUUCGCUUAUUUCUGCUUCUCGAGAAGUGGAGUAAAUCUUAUCAUUUAGAGGAAGGAGAAGUCGUAACA
rnacentral:rRNA from 1 species